CAGACUGACAUUCCUAAACAGAUGGCUGAAGAAGAAACCCAGGCUCCAGGUUUUGGUGCUGAGUUUUACUGUAUGGACCCUGGGAUGUUUCUGAACUGGUUUCUUUGAGAAAUGAGGCCAAAAACCUACUUGGGCAAGAUUCAAACAAACAUCCAGGCCAGCAGCUUCAAGUGCUCUCAUUCAGAAGCAAUCAGUCAGAAAUCUCUUGGUGGCACCGACAUCAAAGGAGUUUUGGAAACUCAAGGGAGGGGGACACAUGGAAGAGUGAUGCUCAGGUGCGGAGUGAGCAGGAGUGAGGAUCUCCUUGUGCAUUGCCACUGAUGGUGUUUACAGAUCUGUGUUCUGCAGCUGCAUCCAGCUUGC